UCGUCUUUAUUAGUCCAAGAAAAUGCAUUCUGAUUUAGUCCCAGUUAUUGUUUAUUAAUGGGGGUUAUAGUCUUGUCUAGUCUAUCACCCAGUGCUGC